ACUAGUCUGGGAGUACCACUUGGAAACAAGGUGCUAAUACCGGAUAAGAAAGCGGAUCGCAUGAUCAGCUUUUAAAAGGCGGCGUAAGCUGUCGCUAUGGGAUGGCCCCGCGGUGCAUUAGCUAGUUGGUAAGGUAAAGGCUUACCAAGGCGAUGAUGCAUAGCCGAGUUGAGAGACUGAUCGGCCACAUUGGGACUGAGACACGGUCCAAACUCCUACGGGAGGCAGCAGUA
rnacentral:rRNA from 1 species